AGCUUUGCGCAGUGGCAGUAUCAUAGCCAAUGAGGUUUAUCCAAGGUGCGAUUAUUGCUAAUUGAUACUAUUGUUUUGAUUCUUACAUUUCUUCGUACCAAAUUUGAGAGUAGCUUUAAAGAAAGC
rfam:Heterocephalus glaber contig149665, whole genome shotgun sequence.